rnacentral:tRNA from 1 species
UAAAAGAUAAGCUAAAAUAAAGCUAAUGGGUUCAUACCUCAUUUAUGGAAAAGUUCCUCUUUUUA